rnacentral:rRNA from 1 species
UACGAAGGGGGCUAGCGUUGCUCGGAAUCACUGGGCGUAAAGGGUGCGUAGGCGGGGCUUUAAGUCAGGGGUGAAAGCCCGGAGCUCAACUCCGGAACUGCCAUUGAAACUGUUUAGCUUGAGGACGAGAGAGGUGAGUGGAAUUCCCAGUGUAGAGGUGAAAUUCGUAGAUAUUGGGAAGAACACCGGUGGCGAAGGCGGCUCACUGGCUCGUAUCUGACGCUCAGGCGCGACAGCGUGGGGAUCAAACAGG